UAUUAAAAUAUUAAUUUUUUAAAGAAAUUUUAAACUAUUGCUGCGGUUUUGGUGGAAACCGCAUCAAUAAAUUUAAGAUUUUUUUUAAAAAAAACACGCUAGGUCGUGAUAUUAGAGGGCAGAGGCAAAAUCAUUAGGUUUCACAACCAUUUUACCACACAGCUGUUUUACUCUCUAUUCUCUCAUCCCUCACUCAUCUGCAUCACAACCAUUUUCAUUCUUCUCUCUCUUCCAUCUUCUCGACCUUUCUUUUUCUUCUCUCUUCCAUCACUAGCGAUUUUGGUCGUCGUUUUUUCCAUCACCAUUUUUGCCUCUCUCAUCUUCUCAUCCUUGACUUCACCAUUUUCGCUUCUCUAAUCUUCAACUUCACCAUUUUCGCUUCUGUCAUAUUCGAUUUCAACCACAACUUCUUGAUUUUGGCAAGGCCAUGGCGAACUCUUCACUGAAAUUCAGAUCCAUGGCGAACUCUUCACUAUAACUCAAUCCAUAGUGGUAAUAGUUGAUGACACGAGAAGGUUCUGAUAAGUCGACACGCUGCUACAGAUCCGGCAAAAAUCGAAGAUCUUCUCGUGUUCCUUUUUCUCUCGUCGACGAGUCUGCGGUGGUGACAUUAGUUUCUAAGGUGAUGUACGCGGUCGAUGUCUGCGAUGGUGACAGUUGUGGUUUGGUAAUUAUAAGAUUUGAUAAUUUACUUUGAUUUGUAUAUUUUUACAUUUUUUUAAUUGGUGGUUUGUUUUGUAUAUACUGAUUUUUAUUUUGUAUAUUUGAGUUGUUAGUUUUUAUAUUUUUCCUUGUAAUUGUUUUGUAUAUACUGAUUUUUAUUUUGUAUAUACUAAAUUUUAUUUUA